rnacentral:rRNA from 1 species
CCUACGGGAGGCAGCAGUGAGGAAUAUUGGACAAUGGGUGAGAGCCUGAUCCAGCCAUCCCGCGUGAAGGAUGACGGCCCUAUGGGUUGUAAACUUCUUUUGUACAGGGAUAAACCUGCCCUCGUGAGGGUAGCUGAAGGUACUGUACGAAUAAGCACCGGCUAACUCCGUGCCAGCAGCCGCGGUAAUACGGAGGGUGCAAGCGUUAUCCGGAUUUAUUGGGUUUAAAGGGUCCGUAGGCGGAUCUGUAAGUCAGUGGUGAAAUCUCACAGCUUAACUGUGAAACUGCCAUUGAUACUGCAGGUCUUGAGUAAAUUUGAAGUGGCUGGAAUAAGUAGUGUAGCGGUGAAAUGCAUAGAUAUUACUUAGAACACCAAUUGCGAAGGCAGGUCACUAAGAUUAACUGACGCUGAGGACGA